rnacentral:rRNA from 1 species
AUGUUUGCUCCCGCGCGGCGUGGUUCUCAGUUCUGGAAAGCUCUUAUUAAAGUUAGGCCGAUUUUUUUGGAGCAUGUCAAGUUUUCUGUGGGGAAUGGGUCUGCUGUUCGUUUUUGGUUGGAUUGGUGGUCUGGGGAUGCCCCACUUGCCGUGAGCUUUCCGAUUCUGUUUUCUUAUUGUCCCAAUCCGCAGAUCUCCAUCGCGGAGCUGGCUGCUAAUAAUUGGGAUUUGGCUUUCCGUCGGGCUCUGUCUCCUGAAGAGUUGGAAGAUUGGCAAAGCCUCUCUGCCCUCUUCCCCGUGCUCUCAGAGUCGGCUGACUUGGUGUUUUGGCCACUUUCGGCCUCUGGUAAAUUUUCUGUUAAGUCGUUGUAUUCUAGACUCAUUGGUGGUACCCCCUCGGCUAGAUUCUCUUGUGUCUGGAAAUCAAGGGUUCCUCCGAAAAUUAAGAUUUUUCUUUGGCAGGCCUUUCGUGGUCGCUUCCCUACUGCUGAUCAGAUCAAAAAACGCAAUGGGCCGGGCUCUGAAUUCUGUAACCUGUGUGGGGCCUUGGAAAAUUCCGACCACAUCUUUUUCAACUGUGUACUUGCCAAAUUAGUUUGGUCUUGCGUCAGAUCUUGGCUUCGGGUUUCUUGGAAUCCCUCCUCUUUUUCUGAUAUUAGAACUCUGCUUUAA